GGAUGUGAGGGCGAUCUGGCUGCGACAUCUGUCACCCCAUUGAUCGCCAGGGUUGAUUCGGCUGAUCUGGCUGGCUAGGCGGGUGUCGCCUUCCUCCCUCACCGCUCCAUGUGCGUCCCUCCCGAAGCUGCGCGCUCGGUCGAAGAGGACGACCAUCCCCGAUAGAGGAGGACCGUUCUUCGGUCAAGGGUAUACGAGUAGCUGCGCUCCCCUGCUAGAACCUCCAAACAAGCUCUCAAAACCAAUUUCCUACCUCUGUGCCAAGUUUCUCCAUCUGUUGAAUGGAAAUGAACUACUUUGGUAUCCCUCCCCCACUCCUAAGUUUAUGUAAAAUGUAUUUGG
rnacentral:sRNA from 1 species